rnacentral:tRNA from 1 species
CGGCGCGUGGCCAAAUCGGAUAAGGCACCGCACUACGAAUGCGGAAACUGAAGGUUCGAGUCCUUCCGCGCCGA